AUUGAACGCUGGCGGCAUGCUUUACACAUGCCAGUCGAACGGUAACAGGCCUUCGGGUGCUGACGAGUGGCGAACGGGUGAGUAAUGCAUCGGAACGUACCCAGAGGUGGGGGAUAACGCAGCGAAAGCUGUGCUAAUACCGCAUGUGAUCUGAGGAUGAAAGCGGGGGACCGAGCAGCAAUGUUUGGCCUCGCGCCUUUGGAGCGGCCGAUGUCGGAUUAGCUAGUUGGUGGGGUAAAGGCCUACCAAGGCGACGAUCCGUAGCUGGUCUGAGAGGAGGACCAGCAACACUGGAACUGAGACACGGCCCAGACUCCUACGGGAGGCAGCAGUGGGGAAUUUUGGACAAUGGGCGCAAGCCUGAUCCAGCAAUGCCGCGUGCGGGAAGAAGGCCUUCGGGUUGUAAACCGCUUUUGGCAGGAACGAAACGGUGUCCGCUAAUACCGGGCGCUAAUGACGGUACCUGCAGAAUAAGCACCGGCUAACUACGUG
rnacentral:rRNA from 1 species